AUUAAUCUUUAUUAGGCGAGACUUUUUUUAUUCAUUGGUUUACGGAUCCGCCGACCGUAAAUAUUCAGAAAGUGAAAAAUAAAAAAAUAAAAUUUGGAUGUCAAAAAUUUUACAAUUUUAGUUAAUUUUAAUUAAUUUGGGGUUCUGACAUGAAGUACACUUCAAGUGAACUUUGACUCUAGGUACUGCUGGCUCAUGUUAUCGUUGUGACAAUCAAUAUGUAGAUUAGUCACGUUUUUUGCGUGUUUUUUUUUAAAUUGACGUUAAAAAAUUUUAUAAAGAUUAUUAAUUUCUGUUCUCAUUUAUACUCAGUUCGUUUUUUUUUUAAUUUUUUUUCCGACCUACCAACCUCUUAUUUUUAAAGUCAAAUCCGUAAACCAAUAAAUAAAAAAAGUCUCGCCUUAUUGGGAGGAUGUAGAAAACUCUUCUGCUUUUCGAGUAUCAAAGUUUCCUCUGUUAUAAUUUUUUUGAACUUUUCAUGUUGUUUUGACAUUAAAUUUUGGCUGUGAAACGAGAAUGUAUGUGGAUAUGGGAAAAGGAG